ACGUGCUUUUUUCAAAUGCCUGCGCCAACGGCAAACUCGUGCUGCGAGCAUCCACAUCCCUCGCGUUUAAGUUCAAAUUUGAAUGGGCAGAAAAACCAAAAUUAUUCAAAAAAAUUUCCAUUAUAACGAGCAGAGAAGAAUUCGAAAUUCUGCUGAAUAUGUGACGCUGUAAAAGGGUUUUUCGCGGAGUUUGCAGUUGGUCUUCUUAUCAGGUCUGGCAACAUGAAGGUGACAAAUUGGAAAGAGGGGAGUAGAUUGCAUUUGAUAAAUUUGCUUAUGAUUAUUAUUGGAUGGGCUUGUUUAAGGUAACCAUUUGAAUAGUUUUGUUUAGAUUCUUGGUUGCGUUUAAACAAUGAAGGAAAUGAAGAGUAAUUAGCGAAGAGACCUUAUCAUAAAAUCCCCCAUGCAUGAAUAAUGAACAACAUGAUAUGCAUCAUUGUAUUUCUUAUUAAUAGUUUUCCUUUUAUUUCUUAUUAUAAAGGUCUCCAUGUAUCUUGCUUAAAUAAUGUGUUUCACACAAUUUUGAUAUAGUACAUGAUACACUAGAAUUGAUCUACACUGAAUUUCUUCACACUAUCUAUCGUGUGGCUGCAACUCCAGUUUAUGAUUCUAUAUUUUGAAA